UACGAAGGAUGCAAGCGUUAUCCGGAUUCACUGGGUUUAAAGGGUGUGCAGGUGGGAUAAUAAGUCAGUGGUGAAAGCCCCCGACUCAAUCGGGGAACUGCCAUAGAUACUGUUAUUCUUGAGUGUGGUUGAGGUGGGCGGAAUAUGACAUGUAGCGGUGAAAUGCGUAGAUAUGUCAUAGAACACCGAUCGCGAAGGCAGCUCGCCAAACCAUUACUGACACUGAAACACGAAAGUGCGGGGAUCAAACAGG
rnacentral:rRNA from 1 species